CCAAACAUCCUUUGCUGAUUGAAGUGACAUAAUUCUGGUGAAAAUGGUUGUGGAAACAGCAGCAAAUAGACAUGCUUUUGCUUUUGAUUUCCUUGUUUUUCUCUCUUUGUGGUUUUUGAUCUGAGCAACUGUUGGAUUAUUAGGCAGAGGUUGCACUUCAUAAUCUUCCUCAACAGCUUCCCACAGAUCCAUAGCCUCCAGAUAGGUCUCCAUCUUUACUGCCCACAGUUGAUAGUUUUCUCCAUCAAAGAUAGGAGAAGACAUGUGAGAAAAACUUGUUCCAACCUCCAUUACAGGUCCCUUCAAGAAGAUAGCUCUGAUACCAAAUGAAAGUGUUUGAAUUAAAAACAGUGAAACAGCAAACAAGAUUUCCAGAAUUUAAUCUGAACAGUAGCUGUUGUUUACUGUUUUAUUAGCAAGAAAUCUGACGAAAGUAAUUCUUGUAGUUGCUGGAGUUUGGGAUGAUAGAAGUGUGUAUGAAGUAACAAGAG
rnacentral:lncRNA from 1 species